UAAAUCAGAACAAAUCCUUAAAAUUCAAAUGCUGAAUGAGUCGUAUGGUCCGUCAGACUUAGAGAUGUCAACUGGUUGGAAGCAGCACGAAUUUUUAAAGAUCUGACGUCAAAUCCAACAACCAAACCAGAAUCCCAAUCUGUCGGGUUUUGAAAAUCCAUGCCCAAAACCAAAUCCAACAAAAAUCUUGAGACCCGAGCCCGAAUCCGGAACAAGUAUUUCUCUAUACUAUAUUUCGAAAUAUAUCAUAUUUAAAUCAAAAUUUUAAAAUAUAAAUUCAAAUACAACACCAAACAUUCAUAUAUAAAAUUUAUAUAUUGGAUCUGGUACAGAUAAAAUUCAUAUCCGAAUCUAAAUUCGUUAAUUUUU
rnacentral:lncRNA from 1 species